rnacentral:rRNA from 1 species
UGGUCAAGCUGUAAAGGGCGCAAGGGGAAUGCCUUGGCACCAGGAGCCGAUGAAGGACGUGACAAGCUGCGAUAAGCUUGGGGGAGCUGCAAAUAAGCAUUGAUCCCAAGAUUUCCGAAUGGGGAAACCCGCAUGAGAGAAGCUCAUGCAGCUCAUACUGAAUCAAAUAGGUAUGAGUGGGGAASSGCCUGAACUGAAACAUCUAAGUAGGGCGAGGAAGAGACAUCAACAGAGAUUCCGCUAGUAGUGGCGAGCGAACGCGGAAGAGGCCAAACCUGAGGUAGCAAUAUCUCAGGGGUUCGGACUGCAAUAUGUAGUGUGAAAGAUAGCUGAACGCUUUGGGAAGAGCGGCGAAACAGGGUGACAGCCCCGUAAGCGACAUCGGAAGCACGCUAGCAGUAUCCAGAGUACCACAGGACACGAGGAACCCUGUGGGAAGACGGGUGGACCAUCAUCCAAGCCUAAAUACUACCUGGUGACCGAUAGCGAAGCAGUACCGUGAGGGAAAGGUGAAAAGGACCCCGGGAGGGGAGUGAAAGAGAACCUGAAACCUUGUGCCUACAAGCACCGAGAGCACGUUCAUGUGUGAUCGGGUACUUUUUGUAGAACGGUCCGGCGAGUUAAUGUAUGUAGCAAGGUUAAGUGACUGGAGUCACGGAGCCGCAGCGAGAGCGAGUCUGAACAGGGCGAAUUAGUUACAUGUAUUAGACCCGAAACCGGGUGACCUAUCCAUGAGCAGGCUGAAGUUGCGGUAAGACGCAAUGGAGGGCCGCACCCACGUCCGUUGAAAGGCCGGGGAUGACUUGUGGAUAGCGAGAAAUUCCAAUCGAACUCGGAUAUAGCUGGUUCUCCCCGAAAUAGCUUUAGGGCUAGCGUUAUGAUAGAUUACCGGAGGUAGAGCACUGAAUGGGCUAGGGGCCGCGAGGUUACUGAACCCUAUCAAACUUCGAAUGCCGGAUAAUUGGUUCAUGGCAGUCAGACCAUGUGAGAUAAGUCGCAUGGUCAAAAGGGAAACAGCCCAGAUCCGCAGCUAAGGUCCCAAAUGAAUACUAAGUGGAAAAUGAUGUGAAAUUGCUAAGACAACCAGGAUGUUGGCUUAGAAGCAGCCACUCAUUCAAAGAGUGCGUAAUAGCUCACUGGUCGAGUGAUUUUGCGCAGAAAAUUUAACGGGGCUAAGUAUUCAACCGAAGCUCGGGCAAUGUUUGAAACAUUGGGUAGGGAGCGUCGUAUGCGGGUGAAGCGUGAUCGGAAGGACAUGUGGACUUCAUACGAGUGAGAAUGCCGGAAUAAGUAGCGAGAAUUAUGUGAGAAUCAUAAUGGCCGAAAAUCUAAGGUUUCUUGGGAAGGUUCGUCCGCCAAGGUUAGUCGGGAGCUAAGGCGAGGCCUAACGGCGUAGUCGAUGCACAUACGGUUGAUAUUCCGUAACCACCGAAGAUGUUAAGCUGAGGGACACUUUCAUUAAGUCUGACCCGGGCGAUGGUUGCCCCGGGCGUAAGGGACCGAAUAUAGUAGGGAAGCAGAUGGCGUGAGAGGCGAGAAAAGCUCAGUGUAUUGUCCAGGUGCCCGUACCGCAAACCGACACAGGUAGAUGGGAUGAGUAUUCUAAGGCCAACGGGAUGGUUGUUAAGGAACUCGGCAAAUUGGCCCGUAACUUCG